rnacentral:rRNA from 1 species
GCUUGUCUCAAAGAUUAAGCCAUGCAUGUCUAAGUAUAAACAACUUUAUACUGUGAAACUGCGUACAGCUCAUUAUAUCAGUUAUAAUUUAUUUGAUGGUGAUUUACUACAUGGAUAACCAUGGCAAUUCUGCUGCUAAUACAUGCGUAUGCGCCCGACUCUGUGGAAGGGUUGAUUUUGUUAGGCACAGAACCAACCUGGGCUGCGCCCGGCCAUGUGGUGAUUCAUAAUAACUGAUCGAAUCGUGCAGCGCCAGCUGGCGAUGAGUCAUUCAGGUUUCUGACCUAUCAGCUUCCGUCGGUAGGGUAUUGGCCUACCGUGGCGAUGACGGGUAACGGAGAAUUAGGGUUCGAUUCCGGAGAGGGAGCCUGAGAAACGGCUACCACAUCUAAGGAAGGCAGCAGG